UCAAGAAACUUCCACAAUGGGCGAAAGCCUGAUGGAGCGACGUCGCAUGAUGGACGAAGUGCUUCGGCACGUAAACAUCUUUUAUGUGGGAUGAAAUUAUUGACAGUACCACAUGAAUAAGGGGCUCCUAACUCUGUGCCAGCAGGAGCGGUAAUACAGAGGCCCCAAGCGUUAUCCGGAAUCACUGGGCGUAAAGGGUGUCGAGGCGGUUGUAUUAGUCGUUCGUAAAAUCUACGAGCUUAACUUGUAGGCGGCGAACGAAACGGUACGACUUGAGGUUUGGAGAGGUGCGUGGAACUCACGGUGUAGGGGUGAAAUCCGUUGAUAUCGUGGGGAACACCAAAGGCGAAGGCAGCGCACUGGCCAAAAUCUGACGCUCACACACGAAAGCUAGGGUAGCGAAGAGGAUUAGAUACCCUUGUAGUCCCUGAGCGGGCUGGCAAGGCGCAU
rnacentral:rRNA from 1 species